CGAACACAUCGCCUUUAAACACCAGUUCCUGUACGAUCACCGAAGUUAAACAACGUCGGGCAUGAUCAGUACCUUGAUGGGCGACUGCUUUGCAAUACCAGGUGUUGUAA